UAAAAUUUAUGUACAACUAUGAUGUGAUAAAGACUAUAUCAUACAUCAUACUCUGUUUGCUCCUGACUCAUGUGUUUCAGAUGUGAUUGCCUCAACUGCUUUGUCUUUAGGUCGCAUAUUCUUAUGUACUGUCGUUCCAAAAUAGAAUUACAAUGUUUUUCUUGUUAAUUAGUUUGAGUACGGCUACAUGUUCUUGAGGCUCGUUUCUCUUGGUACCCUUGUCCUGAACUAUGCUUGGACGACCACACAUGUAGAUAAGAUCAGGGAGGACAGUAUUUCAGUUAAGCUGUGAAUGCAAUGGAAAUCUGAAUACAUGAGUGUCAUUAGCUUUUUCCUUCACGUUUAGAUUUGAAGUUUUUUUUACUGUCUCAGUAGUCAGUACUAUAUUUAUAGACCUUUUGCUGGUAGGAAAUAGGUUAUAUUAAUUGUUGCGUGCAGACUGUAGUUCCGUUUAGCAUGGUCCUAAGUUUAUGUCUUCCAUUCUUACAGAGGUAUCCUUAGCAUACCAAUUAAGCUCAUGUUUGUCUCUAGAUCAUAGCUAUACAUCACAGAAAAUCUUGUUAUAACAAGUGGUCCAACCUUACGGCUCUUGUAAAUACUAACUAGCCAUUCUCUGCUUGGUUCAUCUGUCAAACCUGCAUUGUAUCAUUGUAAGGAAUUAUUAGGACUACUUUGACACUAAACAUGGGUUGCACUGAACAUGGUCAGUUCAUGAAAAAGCUCACUGUGUUAGUAGGAUACUUCAAGGAUGGUUCCUCUGUAACCCGUUAAAGCUGUUGUGGAGGCCUGUCGAAAGCCUGUACAUGGUGCAGUUCACAAGAUACAACAUUGUGGGGAAAAACCUGGCAUGGAGGAGGAUAUUCCCUUCUGUACCUACAGCCUAACUUCACUGGCGGAUCUGCCAAGGCCCAGUGCGAUGCCUACACGGUUCAUUGAUGUCAUUGGUAGGAUAACCAUGGUCUCGGAUAUCAUCCUUAUCCAUCCAUGCAUCAUAGUGGCUUCGAAAACAAGGCCAGUUAUGCUCAAGUAUCUGCUAUAAGUUAUUUGGUUUGUUCACUAUGUUCCUUUGUGCCCGCUGUUUUUUCUGAUGGUUUCUAUGACUGACUGCUUGCUUAUGUAUAAAUGUGUAGGGCCAGGAGAUCCAGAUUACCAUGUGAUGGUGCUGUUGAAUUUGACGUAGACAUGGUCCAUGCAGUGUGUGAAAAGGAGCCUCUUAUUCCUAUAUUUGUAGGAACCUUACCCAAGACUGUUCAUGGUAACUACUUUAGCUAUUGCUUCUCUGCAAUCAUGCUGUUUUGAUGUAUCAGUGUUUUUGUAAUUCACAUGAUACGCCGUCUUGGUUUAUUGCAGGUUUUAAGAGGGCUCAGUGGUAGCUCCGCUUGCCGAUGGUAUAAUCAUGAGGAUAUACCCGAUAUCAAUUCCUUCAGUGCUAGCAUGGGAGACUGAGUUCACUCCUCUCACAGUUUAUGCUCCCUCAGGGCAAAAUGCCAUUUAACCCUCUGUGCAUCCAGAUCCAAUUGUUCAACCAUGCUUCAGCUGGCUCAACUUGGUCCUUUUGACGAAAUGAACAAGUGGUUCCACUGUACUGCUGUUGUUGACAGAAUUAUGCCUGAUAAGCGUUGGUGGUUUGCUUCGUGUGGCGCAUGCCGCAAAUCCGCUAGGUUCCUCGGUGACCGGUGCCAAUGCUCAGACAUUAGCUGCACUUCUGGUGGUGCAGACCUAACAUACUGUGUUGGUGUCAUAGCGACCGAUGGCACGACGGAGGCUGAGUUUGUCCUCUUUGACAAAGUUGCGACAGGGGCCAGGGAAAUCUCUUGUGGCCUUGCUGUGGCAGAGAUACCCUGGCCAAGCUACGCUUGAGGACGCGGCACGUUUGGCUGCGCUUGACAUGACUAUCCGACCAGAUUCGAUCAGCUUGUUGGACAGAAGUCUAAGCUCCUGGUUUCCAUAAGAAGAGUCUUUUUUUUUCAAAAUUGGAGAAUUUGUCUUUCCAGAUAAGCAUGAUAGAAGAGACUUAUAAUCCUGAGCUACCGUCAUCUGUUUUUGGUCUCGCUUCAGCCUCCGAUAAAUCAUCCUCAUCCAGUCAGGUUUUGGAGCUGGGUGCCCCUUAUGUGGGUAAUGCUGUGUCGACCGUAAUGAGCCCACCUUGUGGCCUGAGUCUCCAUGAUGGACAUACCUUACCUGCUAGCGGCCAGUCACCCACAAUUCAGCCUCACACGCUGACUUUCCACGGUACCGGCUUGCCCUUCACCUCCAGUGGCAGGCAAGUCAACUGCUCAUAAAUGUGGUCCAAGGCGUUCUCACGGUUCAUGCUAUUGUGAGCAGCAUUUCCUCUUCGCAAGAAACGUUCACAACCCUACUGGUUCAUGCUAUUGUGAGUGUUUUUUAUUGCAGCUCUGCCCAUACUACACAUUCUACAGUUUCAUGGAUGAAGCUGAACUCUAUUGGUGCUAAAGCAUCGAUUUUUACAUUAUAGAUUUUCUCCCAUGUGCAUCUUGACUAGCCUCCGAAGAGCCUGCUCAAGAUUUUAUAAUUUGAUUUGAUAAGGUUCAGCCCUAAUUUUGUGUUACUUAUUCAGUUUGAGUUUCACAGAUUGCAAUAAAUAUGCUUGAUGUGGUUAGCUGUUAGCUAGAAUUGAUGAUCUGAGCAUGUACUAACUUUAUUAUUUAGAAAAAAUAGUGAUGGUAGAUCCCAUGCAGGUAGCAUGUUAUAAUGUUUUUGCUUCUGUGUCAUUUGGGUAUAUAAAUUGUUUGAAUGGCAAGUAUUAUGCAGUAUUUGAGAAACCUAGACAUAUGCUAAAUCUGUAAGGUGCUCUCUUAUUUUGCAAUAUUUCUCUGGCCUCCUCUUUUAAUUAUGAGUGAGGUAUCAUUGGAUUCUUGUGACUAUUGAUCCUAUUUUCUGCAGAAUUGGACAAUCAUGAUACACUCGGUUAAAACCUUGUGAUGGUGCCCCAACUGAUCAUGUUUUCACACCUAUGAUUCAGACAGCAUUUGAACUUGCAGGUAUUUGUGGAAAUGUUUCUCCAGUUAUUGGCAGGGGAGCUCGUGAGGCCAUCAACUAAGCUGGGUGCUUUGUGGCGAGCUUGAUCAUGGACUGACAUGUGAUCAAAAUAUUUAAUUCUCUAUCAGGUACUCGUCUCUCUUUGACUGCCCCAUCUGGUCUUGUUUAGACUUUAAGUCAAGCACUCUGAUUUUCAAUUGUUAAUUGAUUGUUUUCCUGAACACAAUGUGCCCAAUCUGAGAAAGAAGAGCAGAUUAUAGCUGAAGAGUUUGGUGGAGAAGAAGAGCAAGGUGAUUUAUCUCUCUUGUGAACACAAUCAAGUUUAAUCUGAGCAAUUGGUUAAUUGGUGCCUAUUUUUAGUAACUUAAUAUACCUUCUGUAUAGAAAGCACAGAAAAUGUCAUGGGCUGUAUUCAGGCUGUUAUGUGCUAUUCAUGAUCUGAGAAAUAUUUCAUGUAGUUUUCGAGGUUAAGUGGGCCCGCCUUGUGUUUGAUAGUCCAUUCUUGGUUGGUGAAUACUAGAGGCUGGGGCGCCCCUCGGGGGGCCUCCUUGCCGGUUAGGUGCAUUCCAAUCACCACGCAUGAUUCAUAUUAUGCGAUUCGGCUCUGUCCACCUAUCAUCCAGUCAGUAUCUACAAGGUCUUUUACUAUUUUUUAGGUAAUUCAGAGCAAAAAUGUACGGGAAGUGACACUGCUUAUAUGCAAGGUACACAAUAACCCAUAUCAUGUUGGUAUGAAGAAGACACAAAUACAUGUUCAGAACCUGAUGCACUACAUAGCCGAUGCAACAUACAUUACGACGGAGCAUUAUCAGUUUUGUACAUCAAAACAAACAUAGCCUGUUGGUGUUGCGCGUAGAUUCCCUUCUUUCUUCUCCACUAUCAUUUCGUCUUUGCUUUGGCCUCUUUACCUUCCUGUCAUCACUGGAAUGAAGAGCAGGUUCACCUCAUGUUCAAACUGUCACGUAAUCAAUCAAGAAGUUGAUCAAGUGUUAUCGUUUCCUUUAACGCUCUACCUCUAAAUAGUUGGUACAUCUAGGUAGAUUGAUUAAAAAAAUGUUCUAUGAUAAUAUUGAUCAUUUGCAAGAAAUUGGAUGUACCAGUCAAUAUUGAAUAUUCCAGAGAAGUUGAUGCAGUUGCUGUGUGAUUUACUUGCAAGAUUUCAUUCAGAAAAGUAUAGAAAUGCAGUUAAUAGGUGUGUACUUGCAACUCUUUUCUCUCUGUGUUUACCAUGGACAAGAAUGAAUGAACCACACAGUUUGAUAAAUCAGCCCACUUGAGUUGACAUGCUAACUUAUAUGUAAUCUCUGGUCAGAAUGCAAUAGAUCAUAUUUGUAGUGUCAUGCUGACUACCACCCACUGAUGGCCUGAUCUGACAAUUUUCUAACCAGUUGUUGUACAUGACAAGACCUACGUGAUGAAUGAAACACUGGGAAAAAGAAAUCAUAAAUGAAUCUGAAAGUACUGAAUUUUGGGAGCAUUGGUUGAAGUGGGAAAUUACUCCUAUAAAUGAUAGGACGCUACCUGGCCAUCCAGGGCACAUAGUGAGGCGCUUAAGGCAGCUUAUCCUGGCCAUUGAUUGUGGUAGAAACAGUGGGUAAAUAGUAAAUUUGGAUUCACCCUGACCGUUGGAUGUCU